GAAAUGCGAUAAGUAAUGUGAAUUGCAGAGUUUUGUGAAUCAUCGAAUCUUUGAACGCACAUUGCGCCCGCCGGUAUUCCGACGGGCAUGCCUGUCCGAGCGUCGUUUGCAACGCAUCGAGUCACAUUCGUCUCGGUCUUGGGCGCCGCCCGCCCCGUCGCGGGCGGGCGGGCCCCAAAGUCCUCGGCGGCCCUGGGUGCGCGUCGGAGCGUCUUCGAAGCAAUCGUUCCGCGCGUCGCGCCCGGGGACCUGGCCAGACACCCCCUUUAAAGUGUUUGACCUCGGAUCAGGUAGGGCUACCCGCUGAACUUAAGC
rnacentral:misc_RNA from 1 species